AAUAGAUACCCAGGUAGUCCAUGCCGUAAACGUUGGGAACUAGAUGUGGGGACCAUUCCACGGUCUCCGUGUCGCAGCUAACGCAUUAAGUUCCCCGCCUGGGGAGUACGGCCGCAAGGCUAAAACUCAAAGGAAUUGACGGGGGCCCGCACAAGCGGCGGAGCAUGCGGAUUAAUUCGAUGCAACGCGAAGAACCUUACCAAGGCUUGACAUAACCGAGAACGCUCUAGAAAUAGAGAACUCUUUGGACACUCGGUUACAGGUGGUGCAUGGUUGUCGUCAGCUCGUGUCGUGAGAUGUUGGGUUAAGUCCCGCAACGAGCGCAACCCUCGUCGUAUGUUGCCAGCACGUAAUGGUGGGAACUCAUAUGAGACUGCCGGGGUCAACUCGGAGGAAGGUGGGGAUGAGGUCAAAUCAUCAUGCCCCUUAUGUCUUGGGCUUCACGCAUGCUACAAUGGCCGGUACAAAGGGCUGCAAUACCGCAAGGUGGAGCGAAUCCCAAAAAGCCCGGUCUCAGUUCGGA
rnacentral:rRNA from 1 species